rnacentral:rRNA from 1 species
CCUGGUUGAUCCUGCCAGUAGUCAUAUGCUUGUCUCAAAGAUUAAGCCAUGCAUGUCUCGGCAUAAACCUACGUAUGGUGAAGCUGCGAAUGGCUCAUUAGAACAGUUGUGGUUUAUCUGGUACUUGAAAGAUAGAUGGAUAACUGUGGUAAUUCUAGGGCUAAUACAUGCGUAAAAACCGGACUUCGAGGAACGGUUGUACUUAUUAGACAAAGAACUAAUCCGUUUCGGCGGCAUUUAGAUGAAUCAUAAUAAAAGCAUGGAGCGUAUGACUUGUGUCGGCGCUACACCAUUCAAGUUUCUGACCUAUCAGCUUUCGACGGCAGGGUAUUGGCUUACCGUGGCAUUGACGGGUAACGGGGAAUUAGGGUUCGAUUCCGGAGAGGAAGCCCGAGAAACGGCUACCACAUCUAAGGAAGGCAGCAGGCGCGCAAAUUACCCACUCCUGACACAGGGAGGUAGUGACAAGGAAUAGCAAUGCAGGUGGCAAUUGCCAUUGUGCUAUUGGAAUGAGUGGACUUUAAAUCCCUUUUCGACUAUCGAUUGGAGGGCAAGUCUGGUGCCAGCAGCCGCGGUAAUUCCAGCUCCAGUAGCGUAUAUUAAAGUUGUUGCGGUUGAAAAGCUCGUAGUUGGGUUUCUGCGGAGGAAGCGCGGUCCGCACUUGGUGCGUGUAUCUGGUCUACCUACGCAUCUUCCAGUGAAACGCUACUGCGCUUUAUUGCGUGGCGCGGCAAUCUGGACUUUUACUUUGAGGAAAUUGGAGUGUUUACAGCGAGCGAUUGGUUUGAACAUAUUAGCAUGGAAUAAUAACCUAGAACCUUGGUUCUAUUUUGUUGGUUUCUAGACUAGGGUAAUGAUCAAUAGGGAUAAUUGGGGGCAUUUGUAUCAACACGUCAGAGGUGAAAUUCUUGGAUUGUGUUACGACGAACCACUGCGAAAGCAUUUGCCAAGGAUGUUUUCAUUGAUCAAGAACGAAAGUAUAGGGAUCGAAGACGAUUAGAUACCGUCGUAGUCUGCACCGUAAACUAUGCCGAUUAAAGAUUGGAGGUCGUUCUUAUUGUGGCUCCUUCAGUAAUUUAUGAGAAAUCAAAAUUCUUGGGUUCCGGGGGGAGUAUGGUCGCAAGGCUGAAACUUAAAGGAAU